UUAUACCUUUGGCAACGUUUGGUUAGGGGAUAGGAAUAGAAAUAGGCCCUUAUAUCUUCCUUUAUAUCAAAACGCUAAUUUUUUACCCGAGAAUAGUAAUUCUCUGUUAUUUCCAUCAACACCUCUAUUUUCUAUAUAAAAUUAUCUAAAAUUGUUCUUAUCCCUGGGAACAACUCAAUUUUCAUCCAAACACUAUUUUUCUUAUCUCCAUACUUGUAUCUAUCCCUGUAAUAGCUAGUUCUUACUUAUAUCCGAACCAAACGGUACUUGGCAAUUACUUGGAAAAUAAAAUAGAGUUUUAUUUUACAUACUGAAAGCCUUUAUAUUGUAUAAAAAAAAUUAUACAACAUUUGGUUUAAUAUUUUAGAGUUUUAUGUUAGAAUAUGAAAUUUGUAGUAGAUACUAAAUUACAUCGACCGUCCAAUGUAUAGUAUGAAAUAAAUAACCUA
rnacentral:lncRNA from 1 species